rnacentral:lncRNA from 1 species
GUCUAGGUCAAAUACCUAGUCAAGAAAAAUCCAAACAGGGCAAGACAAGGGGUGCCCAACUCUUGGGCACCCCCUCCUUUUUCUACCAUGGACCACCAGCAAAGGGCGCACAAUAUAUGCCAUAAAACCCAUAAAAAUUUCAAAAAAAAUCUGGAUAAAAUUAGUGCCAUAAGGAAAGAAUUUUGGUUUCCUAAAAUUCUAUCUCAUAGAAUUUGAAAUCCAAACUAAUUCCUACUUUGACUAGGUCCACAACCACAUCCAUGCAAGAGAGAAAGAGUGGAAAGCUUUGGGCAUGUGUGAAGGCCUAGGAGAGAAGGUUUUGUUGCAUAAAAUAAGAGAGAGUGGGCAUGGGGGGCUAAGGUGGUGUAAGGUGGAAUCCUAGUCUCACUAGGGUUCAAUCUAUGACUUGUUCAAAUUUGAUUUCUCAAAUCAAAUCAAACCAAAAUCAAAUUGAUCCAAUUAAAAUAGAUCUUAACCCAAUUAAAAAUCUAAUUUAAUCAAAUUAAAUUAGAUUUAAAUCUGAUUUAAUUUUUUAAUCAAAUUAAAAAUUAGGUUGAUCCAAGUUCUAAUUGAACUAGGACUAGUUUUUUCUUGCACUUGGCUUAUCCAAUAAACCAAUUGGACUUGAUCCAAUCAAUCCCAAACUAAAUAUAAUUAAAUUAUAUUCAAUUAGGCUUAAUCUCAGCCCAUUGGAUUAAUUAAAUUAAGUCAAUUAGCAAUCAAAUUGCUAAUCGAUCCUCCUGCAACACUUGCACUAGGUUAAAUGUCAAUCGUAUUGAUCAUUUAACCCUAGAACGAUUCUUAAUCAUUGAUCAACCAUCUGAUCGGAUCAUGAACUCUAAUGUGUGUGAUCUCAUAGGUCCGAACCUAAGUCGGUAGCACUGAAAUAAAUUUUUAUACCAAUCGAAGUGACCAUCUAGCAAUGGUACCCGACGGUCGGAUAGGUCGAAUGUGUAGAACAACAUCCUUAGAACCCAUGC